CUCCCGGAGUAGUUAGUGCCAGUGAAGUGCGGGCGGCGAUGAGAGCGAAAGUUGCGCUCGGCUUGGCGCUGGGGGCUUGAAGCGGCUCCGCGCUCCGCCCGCCAGGGCCGCCCCAGCCCCAACUCGCGCCCGCGGGCUCCUGCCGCGCCCGCCCGGCCCCGCGCCCGCCCGCACCCCCUCCCCCCGGCCGGGCGCCCCCUCCUCAGGAGCUGAGGGUCCCCGCCACUUUCGCCCGGCCCCGGCCCCCGCUGAUGCCGGCCAUGGUGGAGAAGGGCCCCGAGGUCUCAGGGAAGCGCAGAGGAAGGAACAACGCGGCCAGCGCGGCCGCCUCGGCUGCCGCCGCUUCGUCCGCCGGCGCCUCGGCCGCCUCGGCCGCCGCCGCCGCCGCCGCCGCCUCCUCGGCCACCGCCUCGGCCGCCGCCGCCUCCGCUUCGGCCGCCGCCGCCCCCAAUAAUGGGCAGAAUAAAAGUUUGGCGGCGGCGGCGCCCAAUGGCAACAGCAGCAGCAACUCCUGGGAGGAAGGCAGCUCGGGCUCGUCCAGCGACGAGGAGCACGGUGGCGGCGGCAUGCGGGUCGGACCCCAGUACCAGGCGGUGGUGCCCGACUUCGACCCCGCCAAACUAGCAAGACGCAGUCAAGAACGAGACAAUCUUGGCAUGUUGGUCUGGUCGCCUAAUCAGAAUCUAUCAGAAGCAAAAUUGGAUGAGUACAUUGCCAUCGCUAAGGAGAAGCAUGGGUACAACAUGGAACAGGCUCUUGGGAUGCUCUUUUGGCAUAAGCAUAAUAUUGAAAAAUCAUUGGCUGAUUUGCCCAACUUCACCCCCUUCCCAGAUGAGUGGACUGUGGAAGAUAAAGUCUUGUUUGAGCAGGCCUUCAGUUUUCACGGGAAGACAUUCCAUCGGAUCCAGCAAAUGCUUCCUGAUAAGUCUAUAGCAAGUCUGGUGAAAUUUUACUACUCCUGGAAGAAGACGAGGACUAAAACCAGCGUGAUGGAUCGCCACGCUCGCAAGCAGAAACGAGAGCGGGAGGAAAGUGAGGAUGAGCUAGAAGACCCAAACGGAACUAACCCAGUUGACGCUGAGAUUGAUCAAAACAAGGAAAGCAAGAAGGAGGUUCCCCCUACUGAGACAAUUCCUCAGAUCAAAAAAGAAAAACACAGUACACAAGCUAAGAACAGAGCAAAAAGGAAACCUCCGAAAGGAAUGUUUCUCUCUCAAGAAGACGUCGAGGCCGUUUCCGCCAAUGCCACUGCUGCUACCACGGUGCUGAGACAGCUGGACAUGGAGCUGGUUUCGAUCAAACGUCAGAUUCAGAAUAUUAAACAGACAAACAGUGCUCUCAAAGAAAAACUUGAUGGCGGAAUAGAACCGUAUCGGCUUCCAGAGGUCAUUCAGAAGUGUAACGCACGCUGGACCACGGAGGAGCAGCUUCUGGCCGUGCAAGGUAGGAGGAAGGCCCCUCACAGAGAGCUUGGGAAUGGUGGUCGCUUUGAGGAAACAGUCAUGCCCCAUCCUGCUCCUGGCACUUGCUUGAGGCUGAAGCGCCUUCUCAGGGGAUGGCACUCUUCUGGGGCACGUCCCCCUCGCCGGACAGCGGCCGUCCCUUUGGGCCUGAUGUGUUUCCUUUCCCCUGUCUCCCAAGAUGUAAAACUAACCCAGAAACCUCCGUGUCUGAAGGUCUUUCAUUUUAGCAGCUACUUUUUGGGUUCUGAAGAGUCAGAAAGUACAGAUUGAGUGUUAGGGCUGUAAGAUCGAAGGUCCUGGGGACGCUGCAAGGCACCCAGGGCGAUUGCUGGGUGACCCUAGUUACCUUGUGGCAUGUGAUGGGAGACAGGGACUCCUGGGUGACAGAGACACCCUGAGCUUUGCUGAUCAGCACCAGCACUGGGCCGCUUCUCUCAUCCGUGGGGCCAGUGCACUGGGGUGGUGCCUGCUAGCGAAGCCUCUGUGUCCUUAUCUGGGUAAGGGUAAACCUCAAUUGUGUGUGUGUCUUACUGUUUUUCUCUUGUGCUGAAAAAACUGCUUUCUUACACGCUUAGCCAUCAGGAAAUAUGGCCGAGACUUUCAGGCAAUCUCAGAUGUGAUCGGGAACAAAUCAGUGGUACAAGUGAAAAACUUUUUUGUAAAUUAUCGACGCCGCUUCAACAUAGAUGAAGUUUUACAAGAAUGGGAGGCAGAACACGGGAAAGAAGAAACCAAUGGUCCCAGCAACCAGAGGCCUGUCAAGUCCCCAGAGAACCCUCUCAAGAUGCCCGACGAGGAGGACGAGGCUGCUUCUGUUCUUGACGUCAGAUUCGCAUCUGCCUCAUGAGCAGCUCUGAGGCCUUGAGCACUCGGUGUGGACGACGGUGUUUCCCAGGACUCAGGUGUACCAGACACCACCUAGCCAUCCGCAUCACAUCUCUGUGGACAAGCAGCUAUUACCAAAAAGGCAUACACUUCCAGUCCUGUGCUGCAUCUGCCUUAAUUCUUCGCUCGUUCCUCUGUGCUGGCGCCACUCCCCGGAGAGCUCCGUGGCGUCUCUCCCUCCGCCUCCGUGCUGGGCCAGCCCCGUGGCCCGCGCGCCUCCUGCGGCUCGGGGCCGCCUAGGCCCGGGCUCCGGGCUCCGGGCCCGCCGACGGCAGCUCUUCCCGUCAGCAGCUUCAGAACAGGUAGCCGACUCGGAAGGGGCGACUCUGUUCCUGCAUGGCCUGCAACCUCUACCUUGUGCAUCAUGUAAUUUUCAGAGUACCGGGGACCCUGUUGGCCUUCUAGGAAGCUCCCUUUGUCCUUCUCUGAGGCACCCACCUAGGUGACAUCAUGCUCUGUGGAAAUCACAGUACACUGCAGCUGCAUCAUCACCCGUGUCGUGCCAGACGUCCCGGUGCAACUCCCGUCUCCCUGGACGCAGGUGUAGUGAUGCUUCACAAGUCGAGUCAGCGUCGGUCUCCCCCGUCCCUUCUCCCUCUCCGCCAGGCCCAAGGCUCACUCACAGCAGCUGCCCUUGGACACUAGCUAAGGGAACGGGGCCCUCCACACUUUCUGCCUUCAGCUUUCAGCGUUGGAAUCCCAGGACGGGUGCCGCCCUGUCUUUCCUGACCCCCCCCCCCGCCCCCCGCCCCCCAGCUCCAAGAGAUUUGGUCCACACCACUGUACCUGGUGCUUGUACAUUUGGAAUUGGUGCCUUCUCCUUUUGGCAACCACGUUAUCAACCCUUUUUCUGUUUUAGUGUCUUAUUUCUUCUUUGAAGUUUAUUGCUUGCCAAAGAUGACAUCACUGAGGUUAGGAGACAGGGGAGAACGUGCUGCAGAUUCUUGACAGAGUGCAGAUUGUAAACGUCAGGGUAGGGCAAUAAUAAAGGCCUUAGAAUAGCUGGCGAUGGUUUUGUAAGAGCUACGUGGUGUCUGUUCCCUGACCUCUUGGUAUGCCUGUCACUCCACGUAGCCUCUGUGUCCUUGGUGUGCUUGUGACACGCCAGCACCAUCCUCUCAGUGUGAUUCACUGUGCAGGACAGGAGGUGACGGUUACUGGUUCUCGUGAGACCAAGAUGGAAAGAAAAGUCUACAAAAGCGGUGUGUGGUACCUUUUGGUUGGACUGGGAACAAGUACAGAUGUUUAAUCAUUGUUUUAAAACUUCCAGAAUCACUUUUGUUCUCUUGCCAGACCGUGGGCCUGCUGAGGGGUCGAGGGCAGACUGUUGCACCGCGUUCUAGCAUCCCCUGUUUCCCAGCCCCACGGUCUGUUCAGCCUGCACUAAAUAUGUUGAAGGAGCUUGUUUUUGUUACUGGUUUUUGCAUCAUUUCGAUAUUUUUUCUUGCUUUCAAUACCAAAAAGGAAAAAAAAACUGCAGAUGCUUUAAGGCAUAAACAAAAUUGUUAAAAUUUUGAAAUAUGCAAUUAAAAUUUGAUGUUAUGGCUCCCAAGCACCUUGGCUUUUUUUUCUUUUUUCUUUUUAAGUCAGCUGACUUCCUCUUUAGGAGGAGGCUCAGCGAGAAACCUGGAUUGUUUUGUGAAAUCGGGAGAAAGAUCAUUCGAAAGGGGAGUAAAACGGGACCUGUCCCUUCGCCAGGUGCCCCUCGGUGCAGGAAGAGCUCAGCAGAGAGGAGGGCAGUCCCAGCUGACCGCUGCUGCCCGACAGGCGCUGCACGGUAACACUAGCCAAACGCGGGCUCCGUUGUGGUUUUUAUCACGAGCCUGCUGCGUAACUGGAACUCGGCAGGAAGAGCACGGGGAGGAGGCGACGUGUGCUUUGCACGUCGCUUCAAGGGGCACCGGGCCUGAUGGAAGCUUUAGCUUCUCCCUGCUUCUUCUCACCACCUCCUGCCUCUUAGCGGAAGCGGUAGGCAGUUUGCAGCGGGGGCUUCUCUCGCGCCUGGGGCGCUGUUCCUCUCUUCCCCCCAGACUGUUUUCCUUAAGAAUGGAUCCUGGUGGGCAGCGCUUUGAAGGCUCGAUGCUGGAUCCUGUGUGGCACGGCCAGCACAUGGGCAGCGCCAGGCCUCCGGCUCUGCUGGGCACCCCCCUUACCUGGUUCCUGGCCCCAGGCGGUCUCCGGCGGAGUCCCUGUGCUGGUGUGCUGGCGAUGAGUAAGAGCGGCGGAAAGUUUGGCUUUCUGUCCAAGGCGAAGGGCCAUGUCGUUUUCAUUUGCCAGCAGGAAGAAUGAUAGUUGUCUUUGCCUGACUGCCUUCGUUGUCGCUUCGUGCACGAGACAGCACUGUGUUUUCAGCUGGUUCGUCACACUGUCUUUGCAGUGAUGUUCUAAGUGCAAGAAAUCACUUCGCUUUAGAAGCCGAGUGACUUGGUCUCAUUUAUGGGAAGACCCCUUUUAGCAGAUCCAGACUUCAGAGCAUCAGCAGGUCUGUUUGGAUGCGUGAGGGUCCUUAGGGACAGCCGCUGCGGAUGCAGUGUUCACUUAAGCUUUGUCUUCUUAAAAGUUAUCAAUGUGAAUGUCAUAAUUAUAUAUAUAUUUUUUGUGGAAAUUUUCUCCUAAGUAUAAGUUAUUGUACAAAAUAUAGUACCAUUGAAGCAAAUGAUAGUUUAACUUUUAGUUUAGAAAUCCUAAAAGAUAUAAAUGUAUUGCAUAUGCAUUAAAAGUUUGUUUUAUUUAAUUUUAUGUAGAUGUGUAAAGUGUUAGGUAAAAUUUUUUUCACUUACUCAUUUACACGCCUUGUUACUUGAAUCUCGUGGGACAGCCUGCAGCAGCAACGGGGACUGUAACACAGCCCUUUCACCGCGAGGCCCCGGGCCUCCGCUGGGCUGGCGCCCAGGCGGUGCCGGUGCCAGUGGGCGCCGGAGGCUGGUGUGACGCCCACCCCACCCCCACCCGGACGCGGCUCCUCAAGCCGGCUGCUGAUAGCUUUCAACCUAUCAGAUCCUUCUUUGGUCGUCACAAACCUCUGGUCAGAACAUGGAGAAGAAAUCGCGUUUUAAAGCUUACGUGGUAGACUGACUAAGCAGCUGUCGCGUGCAUCUAAGGUUUGCUCGUUCUCACGCACCCCUCUGAGUGCUCAUCGUCACUUUAAAUUGCAGCUACGCCCUAUUUUUGUCUUUCUGAACAUCAGAUGUACUAUUGGUAUAAUUGCCUACCAAAAAUAAGCCAAAUAGUGCAUUACACUAGCUGGAUCCCUGCUUCCGUGACAGAGGGCAGAUGGCAGUACCUCGAGCGAGAGCCUCGUUUCUCUUGUCCGGCCUGUGUCUGAUCGAGUGACCCAGGACGCAGGCUCUCAAUGUCAAGGGAGACUCUGCCUCAUGUUGACUCAAGGUAGUUAGCUAAUUGGAAUCUGGUGACCGCGUGCAGUGCUCAGAAACAAACCCUCUUGCUGCCGCUCCCGGUCUCUGCAGCGUUUCCUAAUUCUAGCAAAGCACAAUUGCGGUGAGGUCGCAGUUGGGAAGAAGGAAGGGCAGUACAGUCUAUGCAUGUUGUAUGAUAAUGAGUGUUUACAGCCGCCUUCUCCUAAAACUAAACCUAAACCUGAUACCGGAGCGGCUCGUAUUCCAUUGUGUAGACUUAUCAACUUUGCUAAGUGCUUUUUAGAUUGCUUAAAAAUUUUUCAAGAUUUUAAAAGAUGUAUAAGGUUAAGUUUGCAAAUAUAAUGGAAAUGCUGUAUAUCUUUUGAAGUGAUAAAAAUCCAUGUUGGAAUUUUAAAGAGAAUACGUUGUAAUAAUGCUGUUGUAAGUAAUAUUUUAAUGUCUCUUUCUGCCUGUUUUCUAUUUCAGCACAUUCAUUGUGGUGAAUGUCCAUAGCAUUAUAAUUGCUUAGCCAUCGAAUGAUAACAUUUGUUAGUAGAGAUUUAAAAAUUUAUUUGUGAAAUUCUGCAGAAUUCAUUUUUCUAUUUCCAAUAUUUGCUGAAGUUAAAUAAAAAUUUUCAAGCCGUUGAUGUAAUAAACUAUGAAACCGAAAGAA